CACAUGACUCUCGGCAACGGAUAUCUCGGCUCUCGCAUCGAUGAAGAACGUAGCGAAAUGCGAUACCUGGUGUGAAUUGCAGAAUCCCGUGAACCAUCGAGUCUUUGAACGCAAGUUGCGCCCGAGGCCACCCGGCCGAGGGCACGCCUGCCUGGGCGUCACGC
rnacentral:rRNA from 1 species